UUUCAAUGAGGCGGUCAAAUCUCAAUCAAGCGGGACGAGACAUACUGCUGCAUAGUGUCACGGCUUUGAUUUCUGAAGACAGAAACCUAGCUAUGCAUUGGAAGUAGUACAGAUGUUACUGCAAAGCAAACAGCUGUCCUCCGUGGCCUUCCUGUCAUCCUUGGAGAUGAGAACACAGACUUCUUCAAGACAUGCUUUGACUGCGAUGACACAGGCAUGUCUCACAUCCCCAUUGGAAUCCUGACCAUUGUUCCUGAGGACGAACAGCUCUCCCUUGACUCACUGCACCUUCAGACUUCAGAUGAAGCUCUCAGUGUCGUUGCUGCUGGUCCUGCCGGCUCUAUGUUCCACCAGCCUUCCUGAUGUUAUGAGCAGCACAGGGGAAACGCACGGUCAAAGUCAGACUGAGUGAAGGUGCUCAGUGUGUUUUAUGAUGGAGCCAUAAAGCAGCUAUAUAAAC
ensembl:lncRNA